GAUGAACGCUAGCUGGAGGCUUAAUACAUGCAAGUCGAGCGGGAUUGGUAGCAAUACCAUGAGAGCGGCGCACGGGUGAGUAACGCGUACACGACCUACCUCUGACAGGGGGAUAGCCCUGGGAAACUGGGAUUAAUACCGCAUAUUAUUCUGAUUAAUAAAGGAUUGGAAUGAAAGUUCAGGCGGUCAGAGAUGGGUGUGCGUCUGAUUAGCUAGUUGGUAGGGUAAUGGCCUACCAAGGCGAUGAUCAGUAGGGGGCGUGAGAGCGUGAUCCCCCACACGGGUACUGAGACACGGACCCGACUCCUACGGGAGGCAGCAGUAAGGAAUAUUGGACAAUGGCCGCAAGGCUGAUCCAGCCAUCCAGCGUGCAGGAAGAAGGCCCUAUGGGUUGUAAACUGCUUUUAUCAGGGAAGAAACCUGUGGAUUUACUCCGCAGCUGACGGUACCUGAAGAAUAAGCACCGGCUAACUCCGUGCCAGCAGCCGCUGUAACAC
rnacentral:rRNA from 1 species